UUCAUGAACACACCAGGCAAAGUUUGAGCCAGGGAAUGCUAGCUAUGAUAGAUUUGGCAAAAUAUAAGAAAACUUUUCCUAAUGGAAUCAUCUGAAGAAGAAGCAGGCUGUCUUGGGAGAUCUGCUCUCCACCAUGGAUUCAGAAUACAUUUUUCUUCUUUAAGCGUCUGGGGAACUGCAUUUUCAGAUUUGGUUAUAAUGACUUUCAUGACACUCUCCACAACCAGGAACACUUUGGAAGAAGAAACUGAGCCUCUUUGAUAUUUCUAUCCAUAGUGCCUAACAUUACUUUAUUAAAAUGUACAUUUUUGAAUGAAUAAAAUUGAUCCAAAUGGAUAGUCAACACUUUAUUCAUUUUCCAUACCCAUGAUUGCUUAAAUUUAACAUAAGCAGACUACUAAAUGAAGCCCA
rnacentral:lncRNA from 10 species